ACAAAAUGAACUGCUGUUUUUAGCUGUUAGAUAGCAGUGUUUUACCAGUUUUUCAAAUUUACAGCUGUUAUUUAGCAGUUCUCAGCUGUUCAUUUCAUGAGCUGUUUUCAAAACUGUUUCAAGAGCAGUAAGCUUAGCUGUUUUUAAGCUGUUCUUCAGCAGUUCAUCUCACAACAAGUAAUAAAAAAACUGCUUUGGAGUUAACAGCAGUUCUCUGUUUCUGUUAGCUGUUAUGUAUUAUUUGAUCGGGAUUGAGAAACUGUUGGAAUGUCGGGCUUGGUGUUCAAUUAAUUCAAACAACAGACCGCCAAAAUUCAACAACCUUGGCUGCCAUAUUGUAAAGUUUGGAGAGAAGGCAAGAGAAUGUUCUGAAGAGGGGGAUUGCAGUCACCAAUAAGACUGAGAUUGGAUUGCUAUAUCUAAAAAAAGAUGCAGAUAUUUUAUAUACAAAGGAGAAGAUAUAGGUGGAUCUAGUGAUUUUCUUGGACCUGAUUCAGUGAUUGGGACUUAAAAACGGGGCCUAUAUAUGAGGAUUUGCAAAGUGACCAAGAGCAGCCGGCAAACAUUAAACAUGCAGUGACCUUACAAGUAACGAAGAAGUGGAGAAAAUUUUUCAUUGGACAGAUGGGUGUGAAGAAAGCCCUGGGAUAUUAAUUGAAUUGUGAGAAAUGAAUCAGGAACGCAGGUAGAAAGUGGCAAAGACCAAUACCAUUAGAUGUACCUAUUAAAGAUUUAAAAUUGUAGCUGUUAUUAACACAAAUAUUGUAAAGUAUGUGUAAUGUACUAAUCAAGAUUGAUAUAAAAAGUCUAAAUAUUCUUAGUAAAUAUUCUAUAUUACUGUGUUCCAAUACCUAAUAGUGUUGUACUUUUUACUACCACUUGAAUAGAUUUCUAUUUUAUUUAUUAUCUAAAAAUUCCACAUUCUUAUAUUUUUUAAUGAAAAAUUAUUAAAUUUGUGGCUGAAGAGUUUAAACUUUCUCCAUAUGCUGUUCUGUAUGUUUGUCAACAGAUAGGAAUUAGGAUCCAAUGCAUUGGUUAUGAACAUAAUGUGUACAUUUUCUUUCAUUUAAAAUAAUAUAUUAAUAAAUUGUAUAUAAUUAUAUACAUUGUUGAUGGUGUUGUAAAUAAUCUGUAUGUAUGCAUUAUGUAGCAGUUCCUAGCAGUUUUACAGCAGUUCCUAGCAGUUUUAAGUCACUGGGAUGUCCAUAUAAGGAAAUACUUGUUAGCAGUUCUCCUGAAUAUUAAAUAGCUUACAGCAGUUUUUGAAGCAGUUCUCAUUAAUAUUCAUAUCGGACAGCUGUUUUCACAGAGCUCAUUAAAAUAUUUCGGCCUAUACGACAGCUAAAGAACUGGGAAUGCUAAAUAACUGCUGUUAACUGCUAUUGGAAUGUGUGUAUGCAAAUUACUAAUUUGCAUAAAGUGAGUGAACUGGAAUGCUAAGGAA